AGUGAAACAUCUUAGUACCCGUAGGAGAAGAUAUUUCGUGAGUAGUGGUGAGCGAAAGCGGAUGAUGGCUAAACCGUGUGCGUGUGUGACUCGGCGGGGGUUGCGUGUGCGGGGUUGUGGGGCUCUUUUUUCUCAUCUUCUGCCGGGGGUGGGGGUGUGUGCGUGUGCGUGUGGUGAACAUCUUGGGAUGGGUGACCGUAGUGCGUGAUAGUCGUGUAGCUGUGUGUGUGCGUGUGUGCCAAGGGGGUGCCCGAGUAGUGCGGGGCUCGUGGAAUCUCGUGUGAAUCUGCCAGGACCACCUGGUAAGCCUGAAUACUUUUUGGUGACCGAUAGUGCAUAGUACCGUGAGGGAAUGGUGAAAAGUACCCCGGGAGGGGAGUGAAAUAGUGCCUGAAACCGGGUGCCUGUAAGCCGUCAGAGCCUGCUUUUGUUGGGUGAUGGCGUGCCUUUUGAAGAAUGAGCCUGCGAGUCAGUGAUGCGUGGCGUGCUUAACCCGUGUGGGGGAUGCGUAGCGAAAGCGAGUCUUAAUUUUGGGCGUGUGUCGCGUGUUGUGGACCCGAAGCGGGGUGAUCUACCUAUGGUCAGGGUGAAGCUAUGGUAAGACGUGGUGGAGGCCCGUACCCACCAGGGUUGAAAACCUGGGGGAUGAACUGUGGGUAGGGGUGAAAGGCCAAUCAAACUCCGUGAUAGCUGGUUCUCCCCGAAAUGCAUUUAGGUGCAGCGUCACACUGGGCUUGGUGGAGGUAGAGCUACUGGUUGGUUGAUGGGCCGUGUUGGUUACUGACGUCAGCUAAACUCCGAAUGCCAUUUCAAGUGGGUGUGGCAGUGAGACUGCGGGGGAUAAGCUUCGUGGUCGAGAGGGAAACAGCCCAGAUCAUCGGCUAAGGCCCCUAAGCGUGCGCUGAGUGGGAAAGGAUGUGGAGUCGCGUUGACAGCCAGGAGGUUGGCUUAGAAGCAGCCAUCCUUGAAAGAGUGCGUAAUAGCUCACUGGUCGAGUGGUUGU
rnacentral:rRNA from 1 species